rnacentral:tRNA from 1 species
GGAGAGGUAGCACAGCAGUAGUGCACCAGACUUUCAAAGUCUGAGGUUCAGAAAUUCCAAGUUCAGUCCUCUGCGCCUCCA